rnacentral:rRNA from 1 species
UACAGAGGUCUCAAGCGUUGUUCGGAUUCAUUGGGCGUAAAGGGUGUGUAGGUGGCGCGCUAAGUCGGGUGUGAAAUUUCGGAGCUUAACUCCGAAACUGCAUUCGAUACUGGCGUGCUUGAGGACUGGAGAGGAGACUGGAAUUCAUGGUGUAGCAGUGAAAUGCGUAGAGAUCAUGAGGAAGACCAGUGGCGAAGGCGGGUCUCUGGACAGUUCCUGACACUGAGACACGAAGGCUAGGGGAGCAAACAGG